GCCGCCGUAGCUCAGGGGUAGAGCACACCCUUGGUAAGGGGUGGGGUCGGAGGUUCAAUUCCUCUCGGCGGCACCA
rnacentral:tRNA from 1 species